CUACUCGUUUCUACGCGAUAGUUAGCCGAUGGUUUUCAAGUGCAACUCUGAAUAAUUGUCAAUCACAACGAAAAAAUGGUAUUCACUGCGAAAACGUAAACAAUGAUUGUGACAAAAUUAACAAAAAACAACAACAAUCAUGCCGAAUGGCUCGGAUACAUUCGAGGCUGUCGAUGAGAUUGAAUGCGGCAUGGGCGAGUCUGCCAGGCUGGAGGUGCAAGUGUGUGGCGAAUAAAUAGCGGACGACUGACAACAUAGAACAAAUAUUUGUAUGCUCUUUGGAUCUGGACGGAUCAUGUAGCGCCAGCACCUUUUCUGGCAACAAGGGCCCCCGCCAAUGCGAACCAAAAAAGACUACAGAAUGAUUUAUUGGAAGUGCUGAAAAAUAAAAAUAAAUAAGUUUAUAAUUUGCA